rnacentral:rRNA from 1 species
UACGAAGGGGGCUAGCGUUGCUCGGAAUCACUGGGCGUAAAGGGUGCGUAGGCGGCUUUUUAAGUCAGGGGUGAAAUCCUGGAGCUCAACUCCAGAACUGCCUUUGAUACUGAAGAGCUUGAGUUCGGGAGAGGUGAGUGGAACUGCGAGUGUAGAGGUGAAAUUCGUAGAUAUUCGCAAGAACACCAGUGGCGAAGGCGGCUCACUGGCCCGAUACUGACGCUGAGGCACGAAAGCGUGGGGAGCAAACAGG